GUCGUCUGAAAUUUUUCUCCCUCGGUGAAAAUGAGUUCGGUGAACAUGCAUCAUAUAUCACUGACAGUCGACAAUCCUAAUCUUUAGACCAGCGGAUGUGAAAAACGCACGAAUUCAGCUUGGAUUAAUAUUGCAAUGACCCAAUUAACGAAUUUGGAAGGAAGGGGAUUUUUCAAUUACGCAACCAGCCCUAUUUCUUUGCUUAAGGCCGCCUUCUGAAUGAACGACAAAACAAAAGGGCAUUCUGGUGUAUUACGCGCGGCAUAACAAGGAUAAUGGGGAACAUAAAUGCAAAUCAAUUAUGCAGGGAAUGGGCUGUAUAUAAAACGGAGAUAAACAGAUUUUUCAAAUCAUUGCAUUUAGCAGAAUGAAGUCAACACAUCUGGUUUUAGUAGCCUGUAUUCUUUUUUCACUUCUACAGCCGUGCUCAUCGAGGUCUUUACUUCCCUCUAACUUUGAUAAUCGGGAGAAAUUUAUCUGUCCGAACAUCGACAAUCCCCACUGUACGCCAGACAGGACAAAACGAUACAGAAAUGCAUGUGAAGCCUGGAAAGCGUACGAAGAAAAUGUCGUCACGUGCUAAAGACCAUAAUGAAUACCCACAGAUAUUAUUUCAAUCAAUCAAAGAAAAUCCAUAUUGAAUAUCAAUGUACUCUUUUCAAUGUUGUUGUACUUUGUUAUUUUUUUUUUAUUUCACACUUGUUUUAAUUUAUUAAACUUUUUACAAUAAUGAAA